rnacentral:rRNA from 1 species
UACGUAGGGUGCAAGCGUUGUCCGGAAUUAUUGGGCGUAAAGAGCUCGUAGGCGGUCUGUCGCGUCGGCUGUGAAAACUCGGGGCUCAACUCCGAGCUUGCAGUCGAUACGGGCAGGCUAGAGUGCGGCAGGGGAGACUGGAAUUCCUGGUAGUAGCGGUGAAAUGCGUAGAUAUCGAGAGGAACACCUGCGGCGAAGGCGGGUUGCUGGGCUGACACGUGACGCUGAUGCGCGAAAGCUAGGGGAGCGAACGGG